rnacentral:lncRNA from 1 species
UUUGAUAAACAAAAGUGAAUGAGAGGAGUAUUUUUGUUUUUGUUUUUUAACAUAAAUGAAAAACGAGUGAAUACGAAUGGAUUAAUUCAAAAGAUGCAUAAACAUUUCAUUAAUCUUACCAAUUCAAAUAAAACAACAAUGUUUAAAAGCAAAUAACAAACAACAUGCAAAGAAGCUACAAAAGAAGUGUUGAAACACCCAAAUG